UCAACUAGUAUUUUGAAAACAGCAUUGCACUGUGUGCUCUCAUAGACCAUUCACCCCCAAAAAUUGUUUUUAAUGUGUAUAUGAGGUAGAAGUAGGGGGUGCUCACAGAAAACACCCACAGAAAAAAAUGUGUUAACAUGAUGCAUUUAUGUCUCCUGUGAAGCACUCCUCAGAAGGCUGUCCUGUUUCGCUGGCCUGAUAGAGAUGCUUCCAGCUGCAGUAAGAAGGCUGCUGUCCUGUCACAUAAGUACAGAGACGGCAGAGACGCUGGUCUUUUCCCUUGCAGGUUUCCUCCUGGGCAAGUCCCGUAGGGAGGGCCUGGUGUCUCCUAGUUUUCUCAGGAAUCACCUACAGCAAGGGACUUUGCGUGACCAGGAAGCCCCAGCAGAAAGGGCUCCUGCUGGCUUUCCUGACAGUGAGUAGGAGGGCCAUACAGUGUUUAUACAGAUCUGCCUCCCCUCCCCAGAGAAGUCGAUUCAUUAUACUGGCCAAAGAGAACAUUGUGUGUUUAAUCACUAGAACAAGUUUGAACCACCUCUUGCAUUGCUUCUCAAAAAUAAGGAAUAGGCUUCAAAUUGCUUCACUUUAAAUAUUAAUGCACAGUGGGUUCACUGUGCAAUUAAAGAAUUCUUCCAAGUAAAUGUUAAAAAGAAAUUAAAAGGCGAUGGAGGCAUUUUACCUGUUAUUCGUUAGUGGGUUGCAGGAUGGCUUCAUGGGUAAGGAUGCUCACUGCUAAGCUUGGUGGUCUGCAUUUAAUCCUUGGAACCUGUGUGAUGGAAGGAUAGAAGGGACUCCUGCAAGUUGUCUCCAUACACACAUGCACAUCCAAUGCAAAAAUGUAGAAAAUUCUUAUUAUCACCACUACUAUUGAUAUUAGUAUUAUGGCACCACAUAUUAAAGAGAAGGAUAAAUUCAGAAGUUAGAAUAUGAAGAGAUCCUCUGUUUGUAAUAGAGGUGGCCCUUUGCAUAACCUACCUGUCUGAUCCUAAAGUACGAGGGAUGCAGCUAAAACCUCAUGUCUUUGGAUUUUUGUGUAAAUUAUACCGACGUCCUACAUGGCAUUAAAUAUCAGUGCCCUCAAAAUAUUCCCUAAUGUAAUAUUGACUAUAAUGGGAACAAUAACAUUGUGACGAUUGGCUCACAGGUCAUAGAAGUAGCUGUACAUAACUGUUGGUUAUUCAGGAACUCCAUGUAGCAGAGCUAAACUUACAAGGCUCUUCUAACAACUCAUGAGUCUGUUGUUCUAUUGACAAGAGGAUAGACACGGGCUGUGUGUUGUACACCUGAUGAGGUUUACCACACCUGGGGGACCCUUCGUGGCCUCUUCAGACCGCUGCAAAAACAUAUUCAUCGAUGAUUCAACACAUAUAUUUAAUUAUCUCCCUUCUCCUGCCCCCCGCCCAAAGGAUAAGCUCAACAUAUGUGUCUUUUAGAGACUCAAGCAAGCGGCUUUUGGGGAAACCUUGCCCUCUCAACUUUAGGGCUUUAGUAUUUGCAGGUUUCUAAUUGUUAAGUCAGAUUCUUCAUUAAAAGGAUUAAAUAUAGAUUCUACUUUUCUUAAGUGAGUUAGUGCCAGGUUAUGCUUAUGAUUGCAUUGCUUUAUCUCAUAGACACUGUCUUAAAUUUUAAUUUUAAAUGAUUCCAAUUAAUAUUGCCUAUCAACUUUGGAACUGCUAGGUCUUCUUGUGGCCAAGUGAAAAAAAAAACAUAUUAUCCUCACCUUCCAGAUGGCACAAGGAUCUCAUUACUGUCAGGGUCCCCAAUGGUUUCUCCUUUGGCUGCUUAAAUGCCAUUUACAAGUACUUACUCUGCUUACGAAAGACAGUAAGGCCUUUAUGAAAUUUAAAAUCUGAAUCACUGCCUCAUUUUUUUUAAUAAAGGCAAUCAUGAAUUGAUAAUACAGUGUGCUGUUCUCUAAAAAAAACCCUUUUUUAUAAAGAACUCGAAAAUAAAACAUCACACAGCAACAUCAACUAGAUUGCAGGUCUGUAUAAUGAACAUCCACAUAAGAGUAUUCUGCUUUUUCAUUUGGGGAAAAUAAAUGCCUACACACACACACACACACACACACACACACACACACACACAUAUAUGGAGGUGUGUGUGUGGUGUGUGAGUGUGUCUUUAAAUGACUUUAACCCCCAUUUCAUGAUAGGAGAAAGAAAACAGAGUCAAAGUAAAAUAUUUGAAACAGUAGACUUUUAGCUUAGGUUAAGUCAACAUUUUAAAACUAUAUACUAUAGGUAUAGAUUUUUAGAAGAAUUAUUGUUCAAAACAUGUUUGAGUUCAUUGCCAAUUUGAUGGCCUGAUAAGCGGCACAGGAAAAACAGAAAGGGCUCCGAGAAGGCGGAAACCAGUGUCAAGUAUCUGGGAAAUAAAAGCAGGAAGCUCCAGGAACUUGGCCUCAGACCAGUUAGAGAGAACAGUCGCUUGAAAACCACUCACGUUACCUGCAUUCUGGCUGGGAGACAUCAUACAGUGACCUACCCUUCUGGGAGUUGUGGGUUCUCCUGCUCUUCAAGGAGAUAGGAGGAAGUCCUGAUUAAAGAUGUUGUAUCCCUUGCUAAGAGAAGCGUGGUAGGUAGGUAAAGAGGGAAGUUUUCUUCCACUGCACUGGGAAUGACCACAGGAAGGACUUAGUGUCAUGUGAACUUUCAUUUUAACAUUCGAGCAGUGCUUCCCAGGCACGUUCCAUAGGCAAGGACUCUUUUGAGGUCCUGUGCCAUUCAAUGAUUCUUCCCUUUCUUUUGUUCGGUCUUAACCUCUUUAAGAACAUACACAACUACAUUUUCCAGUCCUCUCUUAUGUCCUAAGAUGUGCUCAAUUCUACCAACUCCCUGCCCAUCCUUGUCUAACCCUCGUGUUAAAGCAACACUGGGCGUAGCAGAGAAGGUUUUUGCUUCACAUGUAAUAUGUCUUAUUUUAAAAUGAACACACUGUGCGUUUUAAGAAUACAUCAGUUAUUGUUGCUAAAAGACGAAAUGCAUCCUGGCCUCAAGCUAGGGAAGGGGUGCUCUUUCAGAACCAGCUUUCAACUUUCUGUUUGUACCUCCAGGAAGUGCUAACCAGAUGCUGAUCUAAUGCCUGGCUUCAGCAGGUUUAGGGUUUUUUUUUCUCCCCUGAGUGGCUCUGGGCAGCCCCUCCUGUGUGUGUGGUUUCUAACUUGGCUGGAGAUGACCUCUCAGGUUUUCCCAGGGUUCAGCGUGGGCUCUGUCACACGUUGCUGCUGAGUGGCUGCCUGGCCCAGCUGUGUCCAGCUGAACCCUAGCCCUACACACACACGCACACACAC
rnacentral:lncRNA from 1 species